rnacentral:rRNA from 1 species
GACGAACGCUGGCGGCAGGCCUAACACAUGCAAGUCGAACGAGUGGCGGACGGGUGAGUAAUGUCUGGGAAACUGCCCGAUGGAGGGGGAUAACUACUGGAAACGGUAGCUAAUACCGCAAACCAUCGGAUGUGCCCAGAGGGGAGGAGCGAGUAGUGGGGGUAACGGCUCACCUAGGCGACGAGCCCUAGCUGGUCUGAGAGGAUGACCAGCCACACUGGAACUGAGACACGGUCCAGACUCCUACGGGAGGCAGCAGUGGGGAAUAUUGCACAAUGGGCGCAAGCCUGAUGCAGCCAUGCCGCGUGUGUGAAGAAGGUCUUCGGGUUGUAAAGUACUGUCAGCGAGGAGGCGUUACUCGAAGAAGAAGCACCGGCUAACUCCGUGCCAGCAGCCGCGGUAAUAC